rnacentral:lncRNA from 1 species
AAUUUUCGACAUUAAGACAUUAAGUAAUCAACUAGGUACCAAUUUUGGGCGUAUCGAGGGUGCUAAUCCUUCCUCGUGCGUAACCGACUCCCGAACCCGUUUUCUAAAUUUCGUGGACCAAAACCGUUGUUUUAAUAAAAUCAAACCGUUUAUCAAAAACAACUAUCUUUCGAGGUAAUCCAAUCACACCUCAUAAAAAAGGAUUGGUGGCGACUCCCAUUUUUGUUUUCGUUUUCCAAAACCCAAGUCGACCCCG